rnacentral:rRNA from 1 species
AGUACGUGAAACCGUUCAGGGGUAAACCUGAGAAACCCGAAAGAUCGAAUGGGGAGAUUCAUCGUCAGCGAUUUUGGUACGUGUGCGGUGUCGCGAUGCCCGGUGAGACUUCGGUCACACCGGGCACGCGUCCGCAUGUUUUUUAUUGCCUUAAUCGUCGGCGUGCACUUCUCCCCUAGUAGGACGUCGCGACCCGUUGGGUGUCGGUCUACGGCCCGGGUGGUAGCCUGUCUCGCGUUCGUUACGCGGUUCAGACCCCCGGUUGCCCGACCGGCUGCCCGGCGGUACUCGCAAGGUAUCUGGCCGCAAAUAUUCGAACUGCGUCCGGCCCGUCGCAAGCGCGGUGAGUGUUUCCCGGUAGUACGGAUCUAAAGCCGUCACCGGGCCUCGCCCGCUUGUUGCUCGACGGUGUCCUAGGACUGGCCAAUGUUUAAUUAUGAUACCGGUCGGCGACGCUACUGCUUUGGGUACUUUCAGGACCCGUCUUGAAACACGGACCAAGGAGUCUAACAUGUGCGCGAGUCAUUGGGAAAUGAUAAACCUAAAGGCGCAAUGAAAGUGAAGGUCGGCCUUGCGCCGACCGAGGGAGGAUGGGCCGCGUCACGAUGCGGUCCCGCACUCCCGGGGCGUCUCGUUCUCAUUGCGAGAAGAGGCGCACCCAGAGCGUACACGUUGGGACCCGAAAGAUGGUGAACUAUGCCUGGUCAGGACGAAGUCAGGGGAAACCCUGAUGGAGGUCCGUAGCGAUUCUGACGUGCAAAUCGAUCGUCGGAACUGGGUAUAGGGGCGAAAGACUAAUCGAA